UUUAUGGAGAGUUUGAUCCUGGCUCAGGAUGAACGCUGGCGGCGUGCCUAAUACAUGCAAGUCGAGCGAACAGACGAGGAGCUUGCUCCUCUGAC
rnacentral:rRNA from 1 species